UUGAAAAAUUUCCGACCGAUACUUUCACAAUUUCAUGUCCAACUUAGUACAAGAAAAAGCAACAGUACCAGGAAUCGACGAUGGAAAACAACAAGAUUCCUUAAAAACUCUUCUUUCUUUACCAUACCCUACCUUUGCAGAAAAACUCAAACGCGCAGCAUUGGAUCUCAAAGAAACCGUAGUGGUGGAAACAUGGGGAUUUACUGGGCAGAAGGUUAAGGAUAAUUCACUGUAUACCGGGACUCUUGGAACUGCUUUCUUGCUUUUGAAAUCUUAUCAUGUUACCAAUAAUAAAAGUGACCUUCAUCUUUGAUCUUUGUUCUGAGAUCUUUAAAGCUUGUGAUUCCGCUCCCUCUAAUCCUAGGUGAACUAUGUCACACCCCGACCACGUAAAACA